rnacentral:rRNA from 1 species
GACGAACGCUGGCGGCGUGCCUAAUACAUGCCAGUUGAGCGCUGAAGGUUGGUACUUGUGCCGUCUGGGUGAGCAGCGAACGGGUGAGUAACGCGUGGGGCAUCUGCCUUUGAGCGGGGUACAACAAUUGAAAACGAAUGCUAAUACCGCAUAAAACCUUUCAACACAGUUUUUAAGUUUGAAAGAUGCCAUUGCAUCACUCAAAGACGAUCCCGCGUUGUUUUAGCUAGUUGGUGAGGUAAAGGCUCACCAAGGCGGUGCAACGUAGCCGACCUGAGAGGGGGGUCGGCCGCCUUGGACGGAGAACCGGCCCAAACGCCUACGGGAGGCAGCAGUAGGGAAACGUCGGGCAUGGGCGAAAAUCUGACCGCGAAACGCCGAGUGAGUGAAGAGGGUCUUCGGGUCGGAAAACACUGCUGGCAGAGAAGAACGCUGGUGAGAGUGGAAAGCUGAGCAAGUGACGGUAACUACCCAGAAAGCGACGGCUAACUACGUG